rnacentral:rRNA from 1 species
CGUGAGAUGUUGGGUUAAGUCCCGCAACGAGCGCAACCCCUAUUGUUAGUUGCUACGCAAGAGCACUCUAGCGAGACUGCCGUUGACAAAACGGAGGAAGGUGGGGACGACGUCAAAUCAUCAUGCCCCUUAUAUCCUGGGCUACACACGUAAUACAAUGGCGGUCAACAGAGGGAAGCAAAGCCGCGAGGCAGAGCAAACCCCCAAAGCCGUCCCAGUUCGGAUUGUAGGCUGCAACUCGCCUGCA